GGAGUUAGCCGGUGCUUCUUCUGCGAGUAACGUCACAGAUGUAAGGUAUUAACUUACACCCUUUCCUCCUCGCUGAAAGUGCUUUACAACCCGAAGGCCUUCUUCACACACGCGGCAUGGCUGCAUCAGGGUUUCCCCCAUUGUGCAAUAUUCCCCACUGCUGCCUCCCGUAGGAGUCUGGGCCGUGUCUCAGUCCCAGUGUGGCUGAUCAUCCUCUCAGACCAGCUAGGGAUCGUCGCCUAGGUGAGCCUUUACCUCACCUACUAGCUAAUCCCACCUGGGCUUAUCCAUCAGCGCAAGGCCCGAAGGUCCCCUGCUUUCCCCCGUAGGGCGUAUGCGGUAUUAGCAGUCGUUUCCAACUGUUAUCCCCCACAAAUGGGCAAAUUCCCAGGCAUUACUCACCCGUCCGCCGCUCGUCAUCUUCAAAGACAGACUUUAGUAAUAGUUACCGUCUCGUACUUGCAUGUUGUUAGGUCCGUCGCCGCCGACGCGUUCUAACUACUGAGCCACUGAUACAACUACUGA
rnacentral:rRNA from 1 species